rnacentral:rRNA from 1 species
AAUUUUGGACAAUGGGGGAAACCCUGAUCCAGCCAUCCCGCGUGUAUGAUGAAUGCAUUCGGGUUGUAAAGUACUUUUGGCAGAGAAGAAAAGGUAUCUCCUAAUACGAGAUACUGCUGACGGUAUCCGCAGAAUAAGCACCUGCUAACUCCGUGCCAUCAGCCGCGGGAAUACGGAGGGUUCAAGCGUUAACAGUAAUUACGGGGCGUAAAGCGUGUGUAGGCGGUUCGGAAAGAAAGAUGUGAAAUCCCAGGGCUCAACCUUGGAACUGCAUUUUUAACUGCCGAGCUAGAGUAUGUCAGAGGGGGGUAGAAUUCCACGUGUAGCAGUGAAAUGCGUAGAUAUGUGGAGGAAUACCGAUGGCGAAGGCAGCCCCCUGGGAUAAUACUGACGCUCAGACACGAAAGCGUGGGGAGCAAACA